GACGAACGCUGGCGGCGUGCCUAAUACAUGCAAGUAGAACGCACAGUUUAUACCGUAGCUUGCUACACCAUAGACUGUGAGUUGCGAACGGGUGAGUAACGCGUAGGUAACCUGCCUGGUAGCGGGGGAUAACUAUUGGAAACGAUAGCUAAUACCGCAUAAUAUUAAUUAUUGCAUGAUAAUUGAUUGAAAGAUGCAACUGCAUCACUACCAGAUGGACCUGCGUUGUAUUAGCUAGUAGGUGAGGUAACGGCUCACCUAGGCGACGAUACAUAGCCGACCUGAGAGGGUGAUCGGCCACACUGGGACUGAGACACGGCCCAGAAUCCUACGGGAGGCAGCAGUAGGGAAUCUUCGGCAAUGGACGAAAGUCUGACCGAGCAACGCCGCGGGAGUGAAGAAGGUUUUCGGAUCGUAAAGCUCUGUUGUAAGAGAAGAACGGGUGUGAGAGUGGAAAGUUCACACUGUGACGGUAUCUUACCAGAAAGGGACGGCUAACUACGUG
rnacentral:rRNA from 1 species